AACGAACGCUGGCGGCAUGCCUAACACAUGCAAGUCGAACGAGACCUUCGGGUCUAGUGGCGCACGGGUGCGUAACGCGUGGGAACCUGCCCUUAGGUUCGGAAUAACUCCCCGAAAGGGGUGCUAAUACCGGAUAAUGUCUUCGGACCCAAGAUUUAUCGCCUUUGGAUGGGCCCGCGUUGGAUUAGCUAGUUGGUAGGGUAAAAGCCUACCAAGGCGACGAUCCAUAGCUGGUCUGAGAGGAGGAUCAGCCACACUGGGACUGAGACACGGCCCAGACUCCUACGGGAGGCAGCAGGUGGGAAUAUUGGACAAUGGGCGAAAGCCUGAUCCAGCAAUGCCGCGUGAGUGAUGAAGGCCUUAGGGUUGUAAAGCUCUUUUACCCGGGAUGAUAAUGACAGUACCGGGAGAAUAAGCGCCGGCUAACUCCGUG
rnacentral:rRNA from 1 species